rnacentral:hammerhead_ribozyme from 1 species
AUCCAUCUGAAGAGUCCGAAUAUAGGACGAAACACGCAUCUUGGAU